GCGUGCGUUUGGGGGGCGUUUGGUGAAAGCCAAGGCUUAGGGUUCAAGCUAGCUCCUCAGACUCUGC
rnacentral:ncRNA from 1 species